CUCCUCCUCCCCUUCUUCUUCCUCCUCCUCUCCCUCUCCUGCUCCUUCUCCUCUUCCUCCUUCUCCAUCUCCCUCUUCUCCUCCUUCCAUCCUCCUUCCCCUCCUCCUCCUCUUCCUCCUUCUCCUUCCCCUUCUCCCAUUCCUCCUCCUUCUCCCUCUCCUUCUACUUCUCCUUCUCCUUUCCCUCCUCCUCCUUCUCCUUUCCCUCCUCCUCCUCUUCCCUCUCCCUCUCCUCCUCCUUUCAUCCUCCUUCCCCUCCUCCUCUUCUUCCUUCUCCUUCUCCUUGCCUUUCCCCUUCUUCUCCUUCCCCUCCUCCUCUUCCUCCUCCUUCUUCUUCCCCUUCCCCUUCUCCUCCUCUUCCUCUCCUUCUAUUUCUCCUCCUCCUCUUCCUCCUCCUUCUCCUUCUUCCUCUCCUUCUACUUCUCCUUCUCCUUCCCCUCCUCUUCCUUCUCCUUCUUCCCUUCCUUUCCUCCUCUUCCUCCUCCUUCUCCUUCUUCUUCCACUUCUCCUUCUUCCUCUCCUAUUUCUCCUUCUUCUCUUCCUUCUCCUCCUCCUUCUUCUCCUCCUCCUCUUCUUCUCUUCUUCCUUCUCCUUCUUCUUUCUCUACCCCUUUGCCUCCUUCCCCUUCUCCUUCUUCCUUUUAUUCUAUUUUUCCUCCUCCUCCUCUUCCUCCUCCUUCUUCCCCUUCUCCUCCUUCUCCUUCUUCCUCUUCUUCUAUUUCUCCUCCUCCUCUUCCUUCUCCUUUUUCUCCUUCCCCUCCUCCUCUUCCUCCUCCUUCUCCUUCUUCCUCUCCUUCUAUUUCUCCUCCUCCUCUUCUUCUUUCUCCUUCUUCCCUUCCUUUCCUCCUCCUCCUCCUCCCUCUCCUCCUCCUCUUCUUCUUUCUCCUUCUUCCCUUCCUUUCCUCCUCCUCCUCCUCCCUCUCCUCCUCCUCCUCCUCCUCCCCUGGCCUCCCCAGCACCCGCGGCGCGCCCGGGGCCGCCGGGCGCAGACAAAGACGUUGUUUAGCAGCUUGUCAGAGCUGUAAAUUGGCCGAGCAGCGGAGCCGUUUGCAUUCUCCACGGGGCUUGAGCUGAGAAUUAAACAGCGGCAUCCAGUGCUGCUGCUGCCUGAUGGAGCAAAUCAAUUCUCCCCCCUCCUCCUCCUCCUCCUCCUCCUCCUCCUCCUCCUCCUCCUCGUCCUCCUCGCGGCCCGCAUUCAGGAGGGCAGGAUUUGCCAGGCAGUCCUUGAGGGCCGGCGCAAAAAGGCAGAGAGAGAUCAGGGCAAUUAACCUGCGAGGCCCCUGGAGAGCGAGAGAGGAGGAGAUCGAGGGGGGAACCUCGGGCUGCGAGCGCUCCGUCUGUCCGCGCGCUGCUUUAAUUGAUCCGCGAGUCAAUCGCGGCAGCGGCGGCUUCUCCCGGGCUGCGCCGAGCUCGCCUCAAAGCAAACACGGGCAGGGACAGCGGGGACAGCGGGGACAGCGGGGACAGGCAGGCUGCCACCCCCAGCAGGUGCCCCUGGGCUGUUUGGGAGCGGAGAAAUUGGGGGAGCGGAUCCUGCCCGGGCUGGGGAG
ensembl:lncRNA